GCAGUCGAACGCUUCUUUCCUCCCGAGUGGCUUGCACUCAAUUAGGAAAGAGGAGAGGCGGACGGGUGAGUAACACGUGGGUAACCUACCCAUCAGAGGGGGAUAACACUUGGAAACAGGUGCUAAUACCGCAUAACAGUUUAUGCCGCAUGGCAUAAGAGUGAAAGGCGCUUUCGGGUGUCGCUGAUGGAUGGACCCGCGGUGCAUUAGCUAGUUGGUGAGGUAACGGCUCACCAAGGCCACGAUGCAUAGCCGACCUGAGAGGGUGAUCGGCCACACUGGGACUGAGACACGGCCCAGACUCCUACGGGAGGCAGCAGUAGGGAAUCUUCGGCAAUGGACGAAAGUCUGACCGAGCAACGCCGCGUGAGUGAAGAAGGUUUUCGGAUCGUAAAACUCUGUUGUUAGAGAAGAACAAGGACGUUAGUAACUGAACGUCCCCUGACGGUAUCUAACCAGAAAGCCACGGCUAACUACGUGCCAGCAGCCGCGGUAAUACGUAGGUGGCAAGCGUUGUCCGGAUUUAUUGGGCGUAAAGCGAGCGCAGGCGGUUUCUUAAGUCUGAUGUGAAAGCCCCCGGCUCAACCGGGGAGGGUCAUUGGAAACUGGGAGACUUGAGUGCAGAAAAGGAGAGUGGAAUUCCAUGUGUAGCGGUGAAAUGCGUAGAUAUAUGGAGGAACACCAGUGGCGACGGCGGCUCUCUGGUCUGUAACUGACGCUGAGGCUCGAAAGCGUGGGGAGCAAACUAGAUUAGAUACCCUGGUAGUCCCCACCCGAA
rnacentral:rRNA from 1 species